CCUACGGGAGGCAGCAGUGGGGAAUAUUGGGCAAUGGACGCAAGUCUGACCCAGCAAAGCCGCGUGAAGGAAGAAGGCUUUCGGGUUGUAAACUUCUUUUAAGGGGGAAGAGCAGAAGACGGUACCCCUUGAAUAAGCCACGGCUAACUACGUGCCCGAAGCCGCGGGAAGAAGUAGGUGGCAAGCGUUUUCCGGAUUUACUGGGGGUAAAGGGCGUGAAGCCGGAGAGACAAGUCAGAUGUGAAAUCCACGGGCUCAACUCGUGAAAUGCAUUUGAAACUGUGUCCCUUGAGUGGCGGAGAGGUAAGCGGAAUUCCUUGUGUAGCGGUGAACUGCGUAGAUAUAAGGAAGAACACCAGUGGCGAAGGCGGAUUACUGGACGAUAACUGACGGUGAGGCGCGAAAGCGUGGGGAGCAAACAGGAUUAGAUACCCGAGUAGUC
rnacentral:rRNA from 1 species